UACGUAGGGUGCGAGCGUUAAUCGGAAUUACUGGGCGUAAAGCGUGCGCAGGCGGUUUUGUAAGCCAGGCGUGAAAUCCCCGGGCUCAACCUGGGAAUGGCAUUUGGGACUGCAAGGCUGGAGUGCGGCAGAGGAGACUGGAAUUCCUGGUGUAGCAGUGAAAUGCGUAGAUAUCAGGAGGAAUACCGAUGGCGAAGGCAGGUCUCUGGGCUGACACUGACGCUCAUGCACGAAAGCGUGGGGAGCAAACAGG
rnacentral:rRNA from 1 species